GUAGUUUUAAACAUUUUCCAUGUACUAUGAAAGAGAGUUUAAUAUACAUUAAUACAACUAUUAGUUAAGAAUGCAACUAUGCAUUAAAAUAAAAUUUUCAUUUUUUCGAUUGUUUCUCAAAAUCUAUGGGUUAACCCCCUACAAAAAUAUUUAAUUUUUCGAUAAAUGCUCUAUAUACUGAAGCCUAUGAUUUUUAGUGUAUUUUAAUUUUUUUUAAAC
rnacentral:lncRNA from 1 species